AGCAACUGUACCCCUGCAAAUAGUUCUAAAUGCAUUUGCAAAUGCAGAAGCCUUCAGAACCAUCCAACAAUUCAGACACCCUUUUUAUUUCUUCUCUGCGGGACGCCUCCAUCCAGACUAUUCGCAAAAAACCGGAAAAGUGAAGAUCCUGGUGUUCGUCACCUGACUGUUCUCAUCUUUCCAAGACUCCAGUGCUUCGGGAGCUCUUCCCUACUGAAGAGAAACAGACCUAGGGUAUCUCUUAGCUGCAUUACAAUUGGUAAGUUUGUACCAGCAAGUUUAAUAUCGUUUUCAAAACCGAAUAACUACAAAGAUGCUCUGAGUACUGACAGUCAUGCCAGGACAGGUACAACCUCUCAACAGUCAGAGGCAAAACUUAAUGGUUUAUAACUUUUUUCUGUCCUAACUAUGUUUAUUCUAUAGAGAUGAAAAUGGCAUUUCAGAUGAAAUUCUUUCAGACUGGCAGAGUGGCUCAAGUGGUAGAGCAUCUGCCUAGCAAGCAUGAGGCCCUGAGUUCAAACCCCAGUACCACCAAACAGCAACAACAACA
rnacentral:lncRNA from 1 species